ACGCGUGGAACCUUACCAGGUCUUGACAUCCUUCGCUACUUCUAGAGAUAGAAGGUUCCCCUUCGGGGGACGAAGUGACAGGUGGUGCAUGGUUGUCGUCAGCUCGUGUCGUGAGAUGUUGGGUUAAGUCCCGCAACGAGCGCAACCCUUGAUCUUAGUUGCCAGCAUUCAGUUGGGCACUCUAAGGUGACUGCCGGUGACAAACCGGAGGAAGGUGGGGAUGACGUCAAAUCAUCAUGCCCCUUAUGACCUGGGCUACACACGUGCUACAAUGGAUGGUACAAAGGGCUGCAAGACUGCGAAGUCAAGCGAAUCCCAUAAAACCAUUCUCAGUUCGGAUUGCAGGCUGCAACUCGCCUGCAUGAAGCCGGAAUCGCUAGUAAUCGCGGAUCAGCAUGCCGCGGUGAAUACGUUCCCGGGCCUUGCACACACCGCCCGU
rnacentral:rRNA from 1 species